rnacentral:lncRNA from 1 species
CUUUACACAUCACACCAGGCAAAGGAGAAGCAAGCUCUAAAGGAAACCUAGCCAGGGAACUGAGGUGAAAAGAGCGUAUCUACUGAACCAUUUGCUUUUACAAGCCCGUGUGAGGAAGAUGAAAGAGCCAGAUUCCAGUUCUGGCUGUGUGUUUCCAGAGCCGUGCAAGUGUGGACAGAUAAAGAAAUUUAGACACAAGUCUGGCAAUUCACUCCCAAUAAUUGAGAGGUGGUGCUGUGAAUGGAAACCAAGCUGCUUGAAUCUGGAGCUCAGAAUGGAGCUCCAGAUUUUUUGAGCAGGUAAGAAGGUGUUUCAGUGUUUCUCAUGUAGUCAGUUUCCUAAUUCAACUUCAUGACACCUUUCCUGGCUGACUGAAUAUUUCAACCAUCCUUGCAUUGUAUAUUUUUCACUCCUGUUUUAUUUUUUCCUCCAUGGCACUUAAUACUGACACAUAUUUUACUUAUUUUUUAAAAAAAUUUUCUGUCCCCAUUACUAGGAUGUAAGCUCCAUGAGGGCAGGAACAUUUCUGUCUGUUUUACUCACUAUUGUAUCUCCAGGGCUGAUAAGAAUGCCUUGCACAUAAUAGAUGCUCAAUAAGUAGUUACUGAAUGAAUAAAUGAAUAUAUGCAUGUAUGAAAAACUGCUUACACAGAGGAUAGGGCCUUUUUAUUAGGUUUUGCAGAUUCUUCAGGAAAAACCCCUUUGAAUGGAGUUUGAAAAGGCUCUAAAUUGGUGGGCUAUAAAUGUAGUCAAACGUAUGUUGGGGGACUUUCAAAUACUGUGCUCAUUUUCAGGUCACCUCAUGUUGCCUCCUCUUCUCUGCUUUCCCUAGGCAUACGUGUUUAACUCUCUCCAUCCUGGUUUAACUGCCUUCUCUAUGAGCCUAUUCUCUAGAAAAUUCUUUGAUUGCUAGUUUACGUUUCCCAUUUAUAAGAUGGAGAUAAUUUUAUUUCUAACAACUUCAGCAUGAUAUGGAAGAGAUUGCUGAGAUGAUAGGAAAGAAAACAAAUUAUUGAAUCUUAGGAAGACUCUGGCUAUAGAAACAGACAUGAAAAUUCAGAUAAAAUCUUUUUAUCAGUCAUCCACCUCUUCAUAAUUUGAAGCUUUCAUCUCAAUGAAGUAGAAAUGGUGACUUUUGUGUCUUGUUGCUAUUUUGACCUUUAAACAAUUAGAAAAAAUAUUUUUAGAAAUUACCUAGCAUAUAAAUAUAGUAUUUUUUUGUUGUUUAAUGAGGAAGAUACUUUUUCAGUUUGAUUUUCUAUGUGGGUUGGUAAAAUGUAUUAAAAUUGUAUUGUGAAUCAGCUACCAAGAUAAUGUUCACUUAUUAAUUCAACAAACAUGAUCAAACCUCUAUUAUGCCAGACACCAUUUUAGUAUUAAAACAGCAAAGAUGUCAGUGAGAAAAACAGAACCCUGGGUUCUUGUAUCAUUCACAGAGAGAUGUUUUUAGAGAUC